CCUACGGGAGGCAGCAGUGGGGAAUUUUGGACAAUGGGCGCAAGCCUGAUCCAGCCAUGCCGCGUGCGGGAAGAAGGCCUUCGGGUUGUAAACCGCUUUUGGCAGGAACGAAACGGCGCGAGCGAAUAUCUCGCGUUAAUGACGGUACCUGCAGAAUAAGCACCGGCUAACUACGUGCCAGCAGCCGCGGUAAUACGUAGGGUGCAAGCGUUAAUCGGAAUUGCUGGGCGUAAAGCGUACGCAGGCGGCUUUGCAAGACAGGUGUGAAAUCCCCGGGCCUAACCUGGGAACUGCAUUUGUGACUGCAUGGCUAGAGUUUGCCAGAGGGGGGUGGAAUUCCACGUGUAGCAGUGAAAUGCGUAGAUAUGUGGAGGAACACCGAUGGCGAAGGCAGCCCCCUGGGAUGUGACUGACGCUCAUGUACGAAAGCGUGGGGAGCAAACAGGAUUAGAUACCCUGGUAGUCCACGCCCUAAACGAUGUCGACUAGUUGUCGGAGGGUAACUCCUUCGGUAACGCAGCUAACGCGUGAAGUCGACCGCCUGGGGAGUACGGUCGCAAGAUUAAAACUCAAAGGAAUUGACGG
rnacentral:rRNA from 1 species